CCCUGAUCCACAGAUGUGUAUAUAAACAAUAAACCAGCUUUUAUUAAAGGGACACUAUUGUCAACAAAUAUUUUUAGCACAUUGAAGUGGUUUUGGUGUAAAAAUCAUGCAAAUGACGUUUCACUGCUCAAUUUUCUGCUGUUCAGGAGUUAAAUCACUUUUGUUUCUGUUUAUGCAGACCUAGCCACACCUCACCUGGCUUUGACUAAAACAGCCUGCAUGAAAACAAAAUGGUUUCAUUUUCAAUCAGAUGUAACUUACCUUAAACUUUUAACUCCUGCUCUGUAAUUUGAACUUUAAUUACAUACAAUAUGCUCCUGCAUGGUGUAGUAUUCUAAAUUAAACCGUAUUUGCAGCAAAGGAAGUGUAAAUAUUAGAUGACUCAUUACAAGAAGUGUUUAGGAAGGCUGUGUAAGUCACAUGGAGGGAGGUGUGGCUAAGGCUGCAUAAACAAAGUGAUUUAACGCCUAAAUGGCAGAGCAUUGAGCAGUGAGACUGCAGGGGCAUGAUCUAUAAACUGCUUAAUUAAGCUAAAGUUGUUUUGGUGACUAUAGUGUCCCUUUAAAUAUCAGUAUUCUGGGUGACAUUGGGGGUACUGAAUCACCCUUUGUCUCACUUCCUCUUGGAUUAUAAACUCAUGCAUUUAAAAAUCAGGCCUGAAACUAGUGACAAGGAUAUUUUCAAAAGCGUGACUUUCUGGAUGUUCAAAGUGAAUAUCUAUGCCAAGAUAGCUGAAGUUAUAGGGACACUGUAAUCACCAGAACAACGUAAUGUGGUUCUGGUGUGUAUAGC